rnacentral:rRNA from 1 species
AAAACUUUCAACAACGGAUCUCUUGGUUCUGGCAUCGAUGAAGAACGCAGCGAAAUGCGAUAAGUAAUGUGAAUUGCAGAAUUCAGUGAAUCAUCGAAUCUUUGAACGCACAUUGCGCCCCUUGGUAUUCCGAGGGGCAUGCCUGUUCGA